UGGAUAGUGGCGAACGGGUGAGUAACACGUGAGUAACCUGCCCUUAACUCUGGGAUAAGCCUGGGAAACUGGGUCUAAUACCGGAUAGGAGCGUCCACCGCAUGGUGGGUGUUGGAAAGAUUUAUCGGUUUUGGAUGGACUCGCGGCCUAUCAGCUUGUUGGUGAGGUAAUGGCUCACCAAGGCGACGACGGGUAGCCGGCCUGAGAGGGUGACCGGCCACACUGGGACUGAGACACGGCCCAGACUCCUACGGGAGGCAGCAGUGGGGAAUAUUGCACAAUGGGCGAAAGCCUGAUGCAGCGACGCCGCGUGAGGGAUGACGGCCUUCGGGUUGUAAACCUCUUUCAGUAGGGAAGAAGCGAAAGUGACGGUACCUGCAGAAGAAGCACCGGCUAACUACGUGCCAGCAGCCGCGGUAAUACGUAGGGUGCGAGCGUUAUCCGGAAUUAUUGGGCGUAAAGAGCUCGUAGGCGGUUUGUCGCGUCUGUCGUGAAAGUCCGGGGCUUAACCCCGGAUCUGCGGUGGGUACGGGCAGACUAGAGUGCAGUAGGGGAGACUGGAAUUCCUGGUGUAGCGGUGGAAUGCGCAGAUAUCACGAGGAACACCGAUGGCGAAGGCAGGUCUCUGGGCUGUAACUGACGCUGAGGAGCGUAAGCAUGGGGAGCGAACAGGAUUAGAUACCCUGGUAGUCCAUGCCGUAACGUUGGCACUAGGUGUGGGGACCAUUCCACGAUUUCGCGCGCAGCUAACGCAUUAAGUGCCCGCUGGGGAGUACGNGCAGCUAAACUCA
rnacentral:rRNA from 1 species